CGUGUUUGUCUUUAUGAGUUUUGUUGUGGUGUGUGCCUGUGUCUCUGUAUUGUGUCUAUGGCCGGGUAUGUGUGUAUGCAUUUGUGUAUUGUGUGCGUUUAUGUAAGUGAAUGUGAAGCUGAAAUCUCCCUACAGUAUGUUCCCUGUCAACACUGCUAGUGUCUUGUGUUUUUCAGAUUUUUUUUUUGCCUUUCAUCCUUUAGUUAUUGCUUUACUUUCCUUUGCCUGUUCUUGACCCUUUCUUUAUUCUUAAAUAUAUAAAUUUAGGAACAUUUCAAUAUUUUACACAGAGGUAUCGUUUAGUUAUUUAUAUGAUUGGAAGCAAUGGCAGAAAAAGUAUUCAAAUCCUUUAAUUAAGUAAAAGUAGCAUUACUAUAGUGUGAAAAUAGAUCCAGCUUUCAAAGUCUUACUGAAGUAAAAGAAUUAUUAUUAUAAAAUUUUACUUUAAUUAUCAAAAGCAGCACUUAUUACAUUUUGUAGUUAGUGGAGGUGGAGCUAAUUUGAACUACUUUAUAUAAUGUUGGAUGGUUUAUCUACAACAAUGCAUUGUAUUUUAUAAACUGAUCACUUAUUUCAUUACGGAAAACUGUAAUUUCCAAAGUAACCAGUAACUAUAGCUGUUUAAUGAAAUGUAGCGGAUGAAAUGUAGCGGACUAAAAAGUAAAAUAUUUCCGCUGAAAUGUAGUAGAGUAGAAGUACAAAGUAAAAUAGUAAUAUCAAGUUACGGUAAGUACAAGAACAUGUAUUGUUAUCAGCAUGGUAGCUGUGUCUUUCUGUUGAGGGGAAACUCGGGUUACAAUAUUUACUACCCUUUAGAUCUUUUAAUUAUGUCCUUUUAAAGUAUUUCAGCCUGUAACCCAAAUCAUAAAGUUGUUCUCUUGCCCCGAGGCUGUGGUUCAUUAAAACACAUUGCUUCUCUUGUGAUUUAGUCCCAUGACCCAUUUUGGAUCCUCAGCCGCGGUCCCACAGUUAAGUUAAAGCGUUGAGUUAUACUGAAAAAUGAAGCUUUAGGAAAAUGGAGUACAUGGUUGAUAACGACGUUUACACCAAGAGCCCUUGUUGUGGUUAAAAGCAUUUUGUAUCUGCGUAAUUAAUACAAUCCAUACUCAUAAAUCCAAAAGACGGUUGUAGCCUGUGUCCCAUGGUUAAAGGUGCAAUGUGUAGUCAGUUUAUUACUGUAAUAUUACAAUUAUUGCAUUUAUAAAAUUACAUCUAACAAAAAAAUAAGAAGUUCUGGUAGCUUCUCUCCCCUGAAGUGUUGUUAAUGUGACCAUCGCUCAGAGUUAAGACUAUUUUCCCUGAAUCUUAGUUUUUCUCUUUCAUUAAAAUGGAUAAAAAUGUUGGAGAGUCAUUUUCCCCUGAACUUCAUCCACCAGUAACAGAAAGAUCCUAAACGCUUUAGCUUCUUUUUCCCUGGAAGAACAGCACUGCUUUCCUGUGUUGUGCUCUGUGUGAAGCUGUGAAGUUGGACUUGGUAGCAAACAAUUUAAAAUCCAAUGUAAAGGCUGGUGGAAGCUCCCAGAAUCCUCUUUGAUGGCCUCGUUUUUGAUGAUUAUGUUACCAGGUUUGGAGUCACGAUCGCUCUAGGUCAGUGAGUCUUCUUUUACAGUAUAAAUGUGAACUUAUGAGGCUCAGUCGAUUCCAGCUGUUAUUUUGUGACAGUUCCUGAUGUCCUACAUUUCCCAGAGACCUUCAACAAGCGUGUUGUGAAUUUAUUGUUUGUGUAUUGUGUAGAUGUGCCAGGUUGGUGACAUUGGAAAAUUAUCUCUGUGGUUUUCUUUACUCACACUGCAGUAUAGGCUUGGAGUCCCAAAAGAACAACGCCACAACUACAUCUCAACAGUCAUUCCCCAUCUCCCUCUCACCUGCGGAGGACUCCACCCAGCAGAGAAGCGUUGAGGCACUCAGGCGGGGAGAGGCGUCGCUGCACCUCCCCGACCGUCACCUUGUACUUGGAGGUGGAGCUGAGCAGCGAGAGGCGACCCGGGACCGAACAGAAAACCUCGGCUGGGUUGGACACGGCUCCCAUGCCGAGACCCUCCUUACAGAUGGACAAGGCCGACAGGGAGGACCCGUUCAGCUUGGACGGGAUAGGAACUGGGGAGAAAUGAAGGACUGAUGAAGGAAAAAAAGGAGGUGGAAAAGAGAAACUUUACACACUUUUAGGCUGUUUGCAUUAUUUGUGUAUUGGGUGAGAAGUGUCAGAUCAGACAAAAUUGUUUUUUUAAAAUGUGUAUGUUACAAAAAGUUUAACAGCAACAAAAACAGGAGGGAAAAAAACGAGAUAAAGGAUGAAUAAAGAUCAUCAUGCAGUGA